GAUGAACGCUGGCGGCGUGCCUAAUACAUGCAAGUCGAGCGAACAGAUGAGGAGCUUGCUCCUCUGACGCUAGCGGCGGACGGGUGAGUAACACGUGGAUAACCUACCUAUAAGACUGGGAUAACUUCGGGAAACCGGAGCUAAUACCGGAUAAUAUAUUGAACCGCAUGGUUUAAUAGUGAAAGACGGUUUUGCUGUCACUUAUAGAUGGAUCCGCGCCGCAUUAGCUAGUUGGUAAGGUAACGGCUUACCAAGGCAACGAUGCGUAGCCGACCUGAGAGGGUGGUGGCCCCCACUGAAACUGAGCCCGGCUCGACCCUCCUAGGGGGGGCAGCGGACGGGAUUCUCCCGCAAGGGGGGAAGACCGGAGGGACAAGCGCGGCGGGGUUGAGAAUGGUGUCCGAAUGUAAAAACCUUUUUAUGGGGAAAAAAAAAUUGUGAAGAAAAUUCGGCCCGUCUGGGGGUACCCUAAUAGAAAACCCCCGACAAACUACGGC
rnacentral:rRNA from 1 species